GACGAACGCUGGCGGCGUGCCUAAUACAUGCAAGUCGAACGCUUUGAUUUUCACCGGAGCUUGCUCCACCGAAAAUCAAAGAGUGGCGGACGGGUGAGUAACACGUGGGCAACCUGCCCAACAGAGGGGGAUAACACUUGGAAACAGGUGCUAAUACCGCAUAAUUUGUUUUUCCGCAUGGAAGAAUAAUAAAAGACGCUUCGGUGUCACUGUUGGAUGGGCCCGCGCUGCAUUAGUUAGUUGGUGGGGUAACGGCCUACCAAGACCAUGAUGCAUAGCCGACCUGAGAGGGUGAUCGGCCACACUGGGACUGAGACACGGCCCAGACUCCUACGGGAGGCAGCAGUAGGGAAUCUUCGGCAAUGGACGAAAGUCUGACCGAGCAACGCCGCGUGAGUGAAGAAGGUUUUCGGAUCGUAAAACUCUGUUGUUAGAGAAGAACAAGUGAGAGAGUUACUGUUCUCACCUUGACGGUAUCUAACCAGAAAGCCACGGCUAACUACGUGCCAGCAGCCGCGGUAAUACGUAGGUGGCAAGCGUUGUCCGGAUUUAUUGGGCGUAAAGCGAGCGCAGGCGGUUUCUUAAGUCUGAUGUGAAAGCCCUCGGCUCAACCGAGGAAGGUCAUUGGAAACUGGGGAACUUGAGUGCAGAAGAGGAGAGUGGAAUUCCAUGUGUAGCGGUGAAAUGCGUAGAUAUAUGGAGGAACACCAGUGGCGAGGGCGACUCUCUGGUCUGUAACUGACGCUGAGGCUCGAAAGCGCGGGGAGCAAACAGG
rnacentral:rRNA from 1 species